UACUUUUUUUAUUGCAUGGCAGUAAAAUUCUCUCAUGCACUAACUUGGCUGCAGAAUGGCAUUUUCUGGCAAAGGGAUGCUGCUUCUGCCAGCCAGCACUGCACUGUUCUUGGUGUCUUGGUGCCAUUUUCCACUGUAUCCCGUAUCCCCAGAAUCCACGGCUGUCUCUCAGGGUUCUAAAGGAGUGCUGUAUUUGGAUUUUUGGCUUCAGUGUGGGAAGUGCAUGAUGUAACCUGUGGCAUCUCAGCUCUAGGCCAGGAACCCUGGAAAAGCAAUCUCUCAUUCACGAGGAGCCGCUUACUCUUGAAAGCCCAGCUGUCUUGCAAGAGGUGCCGCACAGGGUAGGAAGAGUUGGGAGCGAACAGCCUGAGGAAGUGGACUGUGGAAGCUGAAGGUUGUCCAGCCAAAGCUGAGUGUGUGGCUCUGACACUGACCAAGGCUGGAAAGAGUUACUGUGUGGACAGAGAAUGUUAGAGCCAGACUGUAGCUGCUAAAAGGCUGAGGUGAGACCAGGAUCUGCAAAAUCUCUGACUCUCCAUGUCUUCCCAAGGCUGAAGCCGUGUUUGCUGUCAAUGACAACCCAGUGGAAGAUGCUAAAGACUGAAAACUUUGGGGUUUUUCCCCUGAAUCCCAUGACACUCUCUGCAGCUGUGCCCUGCAUAUCUCUUAAAAGAGUUUCCGGCUUUAGAAGGGUUUUACCCUGUGCAAUAUUGAUCUAUAAGUCAAUGAAAAAGAAUCUUACUGUAUCAAUGUGAUGUUACUUGGUUUGAGUUGUUUAAUUAAAGCAUAUCAUUGAUAAGGGGUUUGAGAAUCCCUUGGACGGCCCUUGGGGCUGGCAGCUCUGAUUUAUUUUCUCUUCA